UAUUUUAAUUAAAUUGUCCCUGUGCACUUAUUUUUGGACACAUAAGAAUUGGAGGUAAAGAAAAGCGGACUUUGAGAAGUCUGGGGCCAGCUUGCUCCCUGCGGGCUCAAGAUCAACCAUUCCACAUGG